GUGUGUGUGUUGUAGCAAUGGAGAGGAGAGUUGAGAGAAGAGAGGCAGUCGAGAGAGAGAGGGAAGUCAUGUGAGGGUGUGAGUGAAAUUCAACCAUUGUGAUAUCUUCUUCUUCCUGUCCAUACCUUUGUGGAUUGCUAACACCACUACCCUUCUCCUUUAUGGGGGUUAGAGAGAAAGAGAGCAAUCCAAAGUGAAGGCGAAAGUCUCGGGUCGAGUCGAGGUAAAUCAAUGUUCGUUUGAUUGUUUUCUGAGCUUGAAAUCAAGAUUUAUCGAGGGAUUUCCAUUACAAAUGGUAUCAGAACUUAUGUUGUCAAUAAAUCUGUGAUCCUUGGGGCCAAAGUCGAGCUGGAAGUGGUCGAAAACGGAUCUGGAAAUCAGAGGCAGAAACUAUUCAGUUUUUUCAAAUUUCUGCCGGAUCUAUUUUGGCAUUUUCUGGUGAAACCAAAAGGAGUUUGGCGAAACGGAUACCACGGGUGGACUGUGAAGGUGGAAAAGAAGCCGGAAGGGUGACAGGUCGCCGACAUGUGGAUCGCCAGUGCUGGUGCGUGGGUACAUCGACUAGGUGGAUGAGUGAGCGUUUGUCCGAUUCCAGCGAAGUGUUCUUUAGACAGAAUCUUCCCCAUGACGAGAUGGACCCUGCGGUGUUGUCGAAUUUCGGUUUUGAGUAACACAGUAAAAGUUGGACGAUUUUGCCCUUGGACGUUCGGGUACCGAGUGCUGUUUUAUGUUGUCGAGGUUGCUGGAAGCUUUGGGAUGGAUAGGGAUAUUCCUAAAGCGGUGAAUUCUCAUGUCUCGAUAUUUACGGACCUUCAGACGUGGUCCGCUCAGUAUCAUAUUCUUUUCUUUUUAUUAUUGCAGUUAAAAUUAAUGUGUAGGUCAAUUAUUUAUUUUUCGCGUUAGAAGUCAUCGUGUUGGGUGAUGACGUUAGAUUUGGGGUAACCAUUGCCUGUUAUUAGAUCUAGAAAUUACAUGUUAAUUAAUUGUCUUAAAUUCUAUGUGAAUUUGUCACCAAUUUUUUUACACCGAUAGAAUUGCAUGUGACCUUAGGAAAGUUUACUUGACUAUUUUGUGUGAAUUAUAUGUCAAUACUUUGCUUGUGGUUAUUAUUUGGUAUAGUUGGCAUGUAUAGGUCUAAGGCAAGUGCGAAAAAUAAAAUAUGUUUUAACUGUGGUAGACAUAGUUGAAAGAGAUUGUUCUAAGAUGAUAAUAAAAAGAAAGAUGAGAAUAGAGACGAGGUGAAUGUGACUUUAGGGUCGAGUAGUGAUCCCAGUGAGGUUUAUUGAGAGAAUAAACCUGGUUACUGCAUUGCAUCUGUGUGUAAUCCUUUCUGUACGUAUGUGGUCACUUCAUUUUGUUGCAAUAUUGAUGUUAC
rnacentral:lncRNA from 1 species